rnacentral:tRNA from 6 species
GCCCUCGUAGCUCAACGGAUAGAGCCGGCGCGUCCUAAGCGCACGAUGGGGGUUCAAUUCCCUCCGGGGGCACCA